AGUGAACGCUGGCGGUAGGCCUAACACAUGCAAGUCGAACGGCAGCACAGUAAGAGCUUGCUCUUACGGGUGGCGAGUGGCGGACGGGUGAGGAAUACAUCGGAAUCUACUUUUUCGUGGGGGAUAACGUAGGGAGACUUACGCUAAUACCGCAUACGACCUACGGGUGAAAGCAGGGGAUCUUCGGACCUUGCGCGAUUGAAUGAGCCGAUGUCGGAUUAGCUAGUUGGCGGGGUAAAGGCCCACCAAGGCGACGAUCCGUAGCUGGUCUGAGAGGAUGGUCAGCCACACGGGAACUGAGACACGGUCCAGACUCCUACGGGAGGCAGCAGUGGGGAAUAUUGGACAAUGGGCGCAAGCCUGAUCCAGCCGUACCGCGUGGGUGAAGAAGGCCUUCGGGUUGUAAAGCCCUUUUGUUGGGAAAAAAAAGCAGCAGGUUAAUACCCCGCUGUUCUGACGGUACCCAAAGAAUAAGCACCGGCUAACUUCGUG
rnacentral:rRNA from 1 species